GGGCUGCCUCGGCUCGGCCCGGCAGCUCCCGCGGUGGGGUGCGGGAAGCGCGGCCACCGCUGCACCCGCGGAGUAGCUAAUGGUCGUUCCAGGCAAAUUUAGAUCGUCGUGCACUUUGCACGCCUGUGAAGUGCAGGAUCGGGGCUCUGCGGCCGUGCUGCCAUUGAAGAUAAUGGACAAAAAAGGCCGACCUUCUGUUGUGUGUACCGUGGUGACUCGUCAAGCGCUGGAAGCAUGCCGCAGCUCUCAAUCUUCGCCUCAGCCAGUGCAGUGCAAAGGAGACACAAGCCUCUGCAGAAAAAAAGGGUAUCUGCGACCCAUUGUUCGUGUGUUUGAGAGCAUCAGGAAGCUGCUUACCACAGGAAUCAGUCGCAGUUAUAAGCAUUGAGGGUGUGUUCCCUUUCAAGGCAGAGUCAAGGACAGUCAAGAACUUCUGUGUGAAUAACACCUGAUUGCUGCAGAAAACAACCGUACUUAAGACAAACAGUGUAUGUGGACUUGUAACAUGUUUACAGCAACCCUGAAGCACAGGUUUUAGUUUGGUACAGCCAGAAGCAACCAAGAAAUGAAUAGUAAAUUAAAGUAAUUGCUUCAGACCUCACAUUGAAUAAAAAUGCCAAUGUAGAUAAGGA